rnacentral:rRNA from 1 species
CCUACGGGAGGCAGCAGGGAGGAAUAUUGGUCAAUGGGCGUAAGCCUGAACCAGCCAAGUCGCGUGAGGGAUGAAGGUGCGAUGGAUCGAAAACCUCUUUUAUAAGGGAAUAAAGUGUGGGACGUGUCCUGUUUUGUAUGUACCUUAUGAAUAAGGAUCGGCUAACUCCGUGCCAGCAGCCGCGGUAAUACGGAGGAUCCGAGCGUUAUCCGGAUUUAUUGGGUUUAAAGGGUGCGUAGGCGGCCUUUUAAGUCAGCGGUGAAAGUCUGUGGCUCAACCAUAGAAUUGCCGUUGAAACUGGGAGGCUUGAGUAUGUUUGAGGCAGGCGGAAUGCGUGGUGUAGCGGUGAAAUGCUUAGAUAUCACGCAGAACCCCGAUUGCGAAGGCAGCCUGCCAAGCCAUGACUGACGCUGAUGCACGAAAGCGUGGGGAUCAAACAGGAUUAGAUACCCCGGUAGUC